rnacentral:lncRNA from 1 species
CAUUAUUAAGGUAUUCAUGAAAAUGAAGAUUUUUCUAGUUUGUAUAUGCAUUUUUGCUUAUAUUUUUUCACGCAGAUAUUUUUGUAAAUACAUUUUUAUUAUGGAGAAAAUCUUACCUUUAACCUCAGGGUAUGAUAUAAAUAAUGACAUUAUUAGAAAUUCCCAGAAGUUUAUAACUAUACAGCCAAUUAUUGAAUUCGAAAAAAAUUCGCUCUGUAUAUUUUUCCUGAUUGUUUAUAAAAUUUUGAUAAAACUUUUAGGAGGAAUCCGGGUCUGAUGUUGAAGCCCAUUCUUUAAACUUCGGAUUGAUACCAUCGCAGGUGUUGACCAAUUUGUGAUAGAUUCUUCAGUGACCGACGCCAAGCAUAUCUAAUUAUUGUGAGAUUCAAUGACAUAAUUACUACUAACCUAAUCAACAACAAAAUACAUACCACAGACACUGCCAUUUAUUAUAAACUUACAGAUAUUAGUUUGUUAAUGAUAAUAUAAAUUUUCAUAUAGAUAUUAUUGCUACUUGCU